UCGAAUAACGGAGGUGCCGGGGCUGUCGCUAAAACUUUUGUGCACGCCCCGGUGCUCUCUCACAAUCCAUCUCACCCCCUUGUGCAUCACCGCGUGGGUGCUCUCCUUUCUGAAAGGGGGCAUUUGCGCUUUUAUACGGACCCACCGCAUGUGUAGAAUGUGUUACUGUUUGCAAUAAUAUGCGAUCAAUA
rnacentral:misc_RNA from 1 species